rnacentral:hammerhead_ribozyme from 1 species
AUCCAGCUGAAGAGUCGCAAAUAGGAUGAAACGUGUGUCCUGGAU